UUGCCUUCAAGUAUCAAUUGACUCCUCUCAGUCAUAGCUGUACAAAUCACAGCACUUUUUUCUUAAUUGGCAUAAGAUGUAUACAUUAUUCAUCUACUCAGCUUCAUCUGAAGGGAAUCCAAUAAAGAAGCACUUUUAUUUUCCAAUGAAAAUUUAAAGCUGCUUUUUCUCCACAACAGACUGGGUAGAAAACUCCAUCCGUGAUCUAUCCCUUCAGGUCUUAUAAGCAGCACCCUGAGGCCCACAGAAUUUAAGUGACUUGCCCAAGACCACAUGGUUAGAGGAGAGGAAGAACAAGAACCUGCGCCUCCUUCCUACUGCCUCGCUGUGGCCGCUCUUCCAGACACUGUGUUGCUCUGGGUUCCAUGCUCCAUCACAGAGCAACCGGCUGGACUGGUUCAUUCAUUCAACAAAAAAAAGCAUCAGCAACCAAUGGCUAAUAAUUCUUCACCCUCCUGAUCAGUGUCAACAGUUGGCAGCAGCUUCUGAAGUUCCUAAAGACACAUGAGGAAGCCCUACCACUGGAUAACUGGCUGGUAGCAUUCUUUCUGUGUGGGAUGAUUCCCUGACCUGCAUCUUCCAAAGUUCAGGAGCACUGACACUCUAAUAGAAGAACCUUGGGAGGUAAUAUCAAAGAAUCAAGACUUUCUGCUAUGCUUGGUUGAAGCCCAAACUUUAUUGUGAUUUUAAUCUAUUGCAUGUCCAAUGAAGAAUUUAACUGUGAUAAUACUGAAAAGAAAUAUUAGAUGAGAAACAAGAGAAGCCAAAACCCACAAAUCUCAUGAGGACACUCCUAACAUGAUUCUGUCAAUAGACUGACUGGUGUUUAGCCAGGGCCUUUUCCAGAGCCCUCAGUCUUUCAGUUACAGCUUGCAAACCAUUGGAAAUAAAAUGCACCAUUUUAAAUCAUUAAGAGGGUGUAGGAAAAAAAGCAGUAAUGGCUUUGCAAAAAAAUAUGACCUAUAGCUAUAAGGAUCUAAUAUUCUGGUGUCUUUCUCCUUGAUUGUAGACUUAAAUAAGAUUCAGCAGGACCUUAACCCUAAAUUAAGUGAUUGAAUAAAACCUCCCAUAGAAAACUGUCUUGGGCUGUCAACAAAAUGCUUGGGGAUUGUUUUAAGUAAUAAUGAGUAAUAACCAUGGGGUUCAAUGAUAAAAUACUCAACAAUCUCUUCACCCUAUUGAGCUAUUUAAGCAGACUAAGAUUGAACAGAAGGAACAACAUAACUUUCUAGCUGAACCAUAUGAAGCAAAAUACAAAAGCCUCUUUUCAUGGCUACCACAUUCAAAGUGUGGUUUGUUUACUGAACUAAGUCCUCCAUGGAGAGGUGGUGAGGCUGAAAUCUAACCUGUACCCCACUCGUCAAGCCUGGUUCUAGGAUGGGGCUGUGGGAACCAGGAGGGAGGUGGGCCUUCUAAGCAAAGUCCACGUGAGCCUGAAGGGCUGCAAGAGCACCAGGCUGACUGUCACCAAACUUGUAUACUCUAGUGGGUUAGACCUGGCUAGCUCAGGGGUGACUUUCUAAAUCACUCAAAGAAAAUCACAAUGUUCUCAGUCCCUCUAAAGAAAGCCCUUCACACUGUUAAACUACAAAUGCUUGACAAUCUACACACAGAUUAUAGUCCAUCUCAUGCUGAUCAGUAGCACCAAGGGUCUCCAUCUCCCAUCAUGAAUAAUGAAGAAAUUGUUAUAGAGCAAGGUCCAGUCCCAGUUUGGAUUCAGUGGCAUUCGCACAUCCCCAUACUUUCUUCACUUUCUUCUCUUCCAGCCUUACCCCAGUUGGACUAAAACACCUACAAAACAUUCCCCAAGAGUGGAUUAAUCCCAAAGAUGUUUUUUCUUUCACUGGGUACAUAUUGCUUAAGCUGCCACUCAUUGUUCGCAAGUUUCUGAUAUGGAAAAGACAAAAUUGGAGAUUUUUUGCUUAUUUAAGCUAAGACUUAUAUGGUGCUAAAUGCAUGCCAGGAAUGGAUCUAAGUGCUUUCUUUUCAAGAAUGGAUUCAUUAAACCCUCGGGAGUUAUUAUCCAUCCUUUACAGUGGUGACACUAAAGCACACAGCUAGUCAAACACAGAGGCAGGCAUCAAGCUGGGCAGUCCACAGCUAGCAUUCCGCACACCUAGACUGCCUUGCUAUAGGGGCUCUUCCAUUUGCAACAUAACAGGUACCACUGAAGAACAUUUUCUAAUAUUCCCACCCAGCAUCCCUGAAGCUAGAUAUAAAAUCAAAAUCUUUCUCCUAUUUUAAUAUUAUAUCAAAGAGCUUACUAAGAUACAAUAUUCUCAACUAAGUAAAAAAUAGCUAAGAUGUUUUCCAUUAUGUUCAUCAGACAAUGUAAUUUCAGCAGACAACUCUGAUAUACUUGGAAGCAAAUGAAAUGUUUGCCCUCAAUUGCUCAUCUUUAGGGGCCAAAUGAUGCAAACAGCCCAUAUUCUUAAUAAUACAAAUGAUCAGAAAAGGCAUUUAUCAUCUUUUCUCUUCAACUCCUUUUUGUAUAUUUGGAUUACAAAGCUUAUGGUGUAGAAAAAAAUUGAAUCUUGGUUUACAAAAGAGCAAGGGAGGUCCUUACCCAGGACUUACCUAUGAAGUUUAGGAAUCACAAUGAGUAGUGUUAUAGCUUGAAUGCUCAGAGGAAGGAAAUUAGACUACUACCUGUUAGAAACAUUUUUCUAAAUGAAAUUUCCAGGACAAAGGAAAACUUAAUGAUCACUAAAACAGUACUACAAAUUAAAACCUAAUUAUCAUCAAAGAUAUAUGUGUAGAAUAUUUAUAUAUAUGUAUGUAUAUAUUUAUAUACAUGUUUUAAAUGGUUAUAAUCAUUACCAUCUAACUUGAAGUAUAUAUACAAAUUAUAUAUACUGCAAAUUAUAGUCAACUUAGAAUCAACUUUAUGAAGUAACUAGGGAUGACUAGCUAAUUAACUAACUUCUGACUUCCCCAAAAUUCUGAAAGUGGAUUUUGGCCUAAUGGGUUAAAAAUGUUAAGUACUAGUUACUUGCUGAUAGCACAUCUGGAAUCACUUUAUCCUGGAACUGUUGUAUAAUGAGGUGCUAACAUAGCCAACUACAGCUCGCCCCCCACUGAAUGUGUGUGUGUGUGUCCUGGACUUCACCCCCUUUCAGUAGCAAUUUUAAAUACCAGAACAGCUUGUCCAGGGAUCAUGUUGGCAGGAAUGUGCUUGUCUUGGAAACUUAGGGACCAAAAUAUGCUCAUCCUUAAGAAAAGCAGAUCCUACAGAUAACAGGAACUGGCCAAUCAGUUUUCUCGCAGGUCACAGGACUGCUCAUUCUCAUAUUCUUAACCUCUUUCCAAUAUCAAGUUCAUCCUCUCUUCUGCACUGCCUGUGAAGCAAAAGGCAACAAGCAAGAAGUUGUAACAAAUCCUAACAAAACAGAAACAGACCAAGAAUUUUUGGGGAAAGGCAAUCUAGGAAGCAGAGAGGUAAUUUUUCACCAUGGCAUUAAGGAAGUAUAUGAAUUUAUCACAAACCAUAUGGGUUUUGACUCACAAGUUUUAGGGUGAAAAUAGAUAUCUCUAAUGGUUGAGUAAUUUGAUUUACUAAUUUUAAUAACAUGACAGGAGUGGGAAUGAGGAGAUGAGAGACUGGGCUUCUCUACCACCACUCCUGCCACUAACCAGCAAUUCAACCAACAGUGAAUCAUCUGCCUGCCUAGCCUCAGAUAUGGCCAUCCCUAAUGAAAUAUAGUCAGAUAAUCUCCAAAAACACUUCCAACCUUGAAUUCUUAACUCAAAAUUGUCACAGUUUUGCAAAUUUCUACACUGACUAUAUCUCUUUCGGUGUGACAGUGGUCAAGAAGAAGAGAGGAAAUGAGAGACUAGAGGGUAUAUGAGAUGGGAACUCAGGCCUGUCUUCAGUGAGUAUCCCAUGUGGCCUAUUUGAGUAAAUUUUUUUAACUGAUCUCAAAUGAAUGUAUAUGUGGCAGAGGGUGUGGGGCGGGGGGUGUAAUUAGGUAGACAGAUAAUGAGAGAGAACCCAAACAACCUUCUACAGUUUAAAAUAAGCAUGAAAAUCCAGAUGCCAUUCUAUCUUCUUUAGUUUCCUCUUCUUCGUCAGAUAGACCACAUGGGGCACUCCCCGAAGACACAUCUGAAUUUCCAUUACUUAUACCUUGUAGUCCUCUCCUCUUAACCACUGUCAUGGCCAAAGAAGUACAGGACAGUACAGAGAUUUGUAAAACUUCAAAAUGAUGCCAUUCUUGAAUCUUCAUUCUUUGAUGACAUUCUCAGUUUUAAGAAAUAUAAUCGUGUGUGUGUGUGUGUGUGUGUGUGUGUGUGUGUAUCUUUGUUUUCAGGGGAUCAAACUGGGGUCAUGUGCAUGUUAGGCAAGCGGUCUACCACUGAGCUAUAUCCCCAGCACUAUUUUCAUUUUAAAGUAUUAUUCAUGUGAACAUAUUAUCAGUUUAUUACUCUUUUAAAUAAAUCAAUGAUUUUUUAAAAUUUCUCAUUCUUAAUUUCUAACAUAGUAAAUAUCAGUAGACACAAAACUUUUUGUGCUCAAUAAUUUUUUUAAGAGUACAUGAAAGCCGGUCAUGGUGGCAAAUGCCUAUAAUCCCAGUGACUCUGCAGGUUGAAGCAGAAGGAUCAAAAGA